AUAGAGUGCAUCUCCGUGGGGUGCUCUCAGUUUCCUCAACGUUUAUCAGCUGCUAUGGUUCACCGGACUCACUGCCAGGUUCCUCAUGCUAUGAUGCAAUGGGGCAACUGAUGCUUAUUUACUGCUAGAUGUUUCUCUAAAUUUAGGGUCUAAAGCAAGUUAAAAAAGAGAGUAUGGAUUGAAUUUUUCUUCUUAUUCUUGAUCAUGGAUUGAUUUUGAUUUAGUUAGUAGGAAAAUUAUUUAAUACUUCUGAAAUAUCAACUCAUCAAGUUUGAGGUGGUACAUUGAAUUAAUAAUAAUACAUUAUAUAAUCUAAAAUUAAUCUUGAAAAUCUACACCACCACUGAACUAAUUAUAAUAUACAUAAUAGUUUAAGUAAAUUUAAAUUUAAUAAAUUUUAUUUUUUAAUUAAAUUAUUUUUUUUAAAAGAAAUUUUUUAUUGAGUGUACCCAGUUCCAUAUAAUAAAUUUGUUACAUAGUUUCAAUUGAUAAUAUUCUUAGACAGUGGCUUUCCAAUGUGAUUGUGUUAUCAUUGUUUAAAUCCAUAUUAGUAAGUGCAAAUGACUGCUAGCAUAUAAAGAUAAGAAGCACCUUUUAUUUAUUUUGAAACAUGAGAAGAAGCUUAUGCUUCGUAGGCAGCAGAUGGAGAUACAUUACUAAGCAGAAACGAAAAUUUUAAAGGAAUAACACGACAUCGUAAUGACAUAUAUUCCUUGCUCACUUUCAUCCUACUUAGCUCCAUCUUUCUCUGCAUCUGCAAUUGCAAAAACAAUAUAAUAAAGUUAGAUAUUAUAAUGCUAUCAAAAUGAGCGUGACAAAUCCAAAUUUUGAAAAAAUAGAGUGUACCAGUUGACGGCGCAAUUGAGAGGUGGAAGAUGGCAUUGGGAUGGAAGGCGGGCAGCAAUGGCCAGAGUGUUGCAGAGGCAGUCAUUUUGCAUGGACUGGAGUGCGUUACAACAAUCAGCACUAGGGCUGCCGUGGGCACCAGGUACUACAAAUGGUGCACACACAUUCAGGGUAUUCAACUGGCUUGGGCAACUCUGCGACAUGCUCAGGUGGGUCUGCGCUGCAACUGCUAUGAACAAGAGAAGCAUUGCUGCUUGCGAGCUCAUAGAGGUCAGGCACUUGAUAGCUGCCAUUUCUAUUGAUCAAUUUUGUGUUUACUCGUUGUUAUGUUUUAAGUUUAAGAUUUUUUACUUCAAUUUAUAGUCGGUGCCAAGAUAUAUUUGAGGUUGAGUCUUGAUGUGAGUCACCUAAUACAAGUUCAUCUUUAUUGUGUUGGACUCCAAAAAAAAAAAACAUUUAUAAUUUGA
rnacentral:lncRNA from 1 species